rnacentral:rRNA from 1 species
UACAGAGGUCUCAAGCGUUGUUCGGAUUUAUUGGGCGUAAAGAGCUCGUAGGCGGCUUGUCGCGUCGGCUGUGAAAACCCGCGGCUCAACUGUGGGCGGGCAGCUGAUACGGGCAGGCUGGAGUUCGGUAGGGGAGACUGGAAUUCCUGGUGUAGCGGUGAAAUGCGCAGAUAUCAGGAGGAACACCGGUGGCGAAGGCGGGUCUCUGGGCCGAUACUGACGCUGAGGAGCGAAAGCGUGGGGAGCGAACAGG